GCUCACACCGGUUUAAACUCAGAUCAUGUAAAAUUUUAAGGGUCGAACAGACCCAAUUAAUUAGCUUCUUCACCAAUUAUUAAUUUUAAUCCAACAUCGAGGUCGCAAACUUUCUAUUUGAUAAGAACUCUAAAGAAAAUAACGCUGUUAUCCCUAAGGUAAUUUAAUCUAUUAAUCUAAAACUUAGGAUCAUAAAUCCACAAAUCAAUGUUUAAAAAUAAAAAAGUUUAUUAAAUUUUUCUAUCACCCCAACAAAAUACUAGUAUUAACACUCCAUUAACCCUAAACAAUAGUAUUAAGCUAAUAUAAAACUCUAUAGGGUCUUCUCGUCUUCCAUGUAAAUUUAAGCUUUUUUACUUAAAAAUAAAAUUCUAUUUAACUUUCUUAGAGACAGAAAUUCUUUCAUCAAACCUUUCAUUCAAGCUUUCAAUUAAAAAACUAUUGAUUAUGCUACCUUUGCACAGUCAAUAUACUGCGGCCAUUUAAUUAUUCCUCAUUGGGCAGGUACGACUUGAAAUUAUAAUCAACAAGCCAUGUUUUUAAUAAACAGG
rnacentral:rRNA from 1 species